CUGCCGUGGGCGCUGGAGAACUGAGGGGGGCUGCUCCUAGUACGAGAGGACCGGAGUGGACGCAUCACUGGUGUUCGGGUUGUCAUGCCAAUGGCACUGCCCGGUAGCUAAAUGCGGAAGAGAUAAGAAAGCCGCCCUCACGCAGUUAUGUGGGGGCGGCAUGAAAUA
rnacentral:rRNA from 1 species